CGAGUUUGAGGGUCUGAAACCCAAGAGCGAAGCGAAAGCGAAACUUGUGAGAGGGGGGCUGGCAACCUACCUGCAUCACGGACCGGAAGGCCACAGGGCCUAUUGAGUUAGAGCACACAUGAUGGGACCCGAAAGAUGGUGAACUAAGCAUGAGCAGAAUGAAGCCAGGAGAAAUUCUGGUGGAAGUUCGUAGCGAUACUGACGUGCAAAUCGUUCGUCUGAUUUGAGUAUAGGGGCGAAAGACUAAUCGAAUCAUCUGGUAGCUGGUUUUCUCCGAAAAUUUCCCUCAGGAUAGCUGACAUUGAUAAUGUACAAUUUUAUAACGUAAAGCGCAUGAUUAGAAGUAUCUGGGUUGAAAUAAUUUAGACUGAUUCUCAAACUUUGAAGUCGUAAGAAUUAAUAGUACCAUUUUGAUCUAUACUAUUAAUUAAAUGGAACAAUGUUUAGUGGGCCAUUUUUGGUAAGCAGAACUGGCGAUGCGGGAU
rnacentral:rRNA from 1 species